GACGAACGCUGGCGGCGUGCUUAACACAUGCAAGUCGAACGGAAAGGCCUUUUCGGAGGUACUCGAGUGGCGAACGGGUGAGUAACACGUGGGUGAUCUGCCCUGCACUCUGGGAUAAGCCUGGGAAACUGGGUCUAAUACCGGAUAGGACCGCACUUUAGUGUGUGUGGUGGAAAGUUUUUUCGGUGUAGGAUGAGCCCGCGGCCUAUCAGCUUGUUGGUGGGGUAAUGGCCUACCAAGGCGGCGACGGGUAGCCGGACUGAGAGGUUGGUCGGCCACAUUGGGACUGAGACACGGCCCAGACCCCUACGGGAGGCAGCAGUGGGGAAUAUUGCACAAUGGGCGCAAGCCUGAUGCAGCGACGCCGCGUGGGGGAUGACAGCCUUCGGGUUGUAAACUCCUUUCGCCAGGGACGAAGCGUUUUGUGACGGUACCUGGAGAAGAAGCACCGGCUAACUACGUG
rnacentral:rRNA from 1 species